AAUCAAGUUCCUGUACUUUUAACUUGUCUAAUCAUGCCAUGCUACUUACACGGAUUUUCUAAUCGAGUCCAUCCUUCAUCAUAUUGGACCAAAUUCAGCUGAGGCGGCUGUAGGACGACGUGAAAGUAUAACACUGAUAGAAUAUGCAUGACACGUUGUGGAUAAACUUCAGCCAAUAUGGACCCCUAUGUGGACCCACAUUGGAAAACUUUUGUCCACGUCACACUAUGAUGUCGUCCAACAAUCAUGUCAGCUGAAUUUGGCAAUAAUAAGUGUCAAAGGGACUUGAUUAGUUAAAUAGUGAAAGUAGAAGAACUUUGAUUAGACAAAUUAAAAGUGCAGAAACUUGAUUAGAAAAGACUUGAAAGCAUUGCUACAAAAAUAGAUUUUUCCUACUCCUGACGAUAGUGCAUCAAACUUAUCAAACAUUAACACGUCGGAGUUACAUAUCAAUGUGCAACACUCCCAUCUCCACCUUCAGUUCAGUCUCAGUUUCAGUUGUGUAAAGUUUAUGGCUGAUUUUAUGGCUCAAGAUGUGUUAUUCCUGCAUGUAUAGCCUCUUAUGGGGAUGCUUUUAGUUUGUUUUAUGACGUGGUUACGCCGUGACAUCACACUUCAAAUAUUCCAGUCUGAAUCCUUGCUGUAGCUGCCCUGCUUACCUGUGUCUUGUACAUCAACAGACUUUUGGUUUCUUUUUCAAUUGUAAAUAAUCUUAAGCAUUAUUCUUGGAUAAUGACUAUAACAUUAUUUAAUUGACCUCUAGGAUUCUAAUAAAUUGCAGGUACUGAAUCCCAGCCUAAGUCUACAUCUGCUUCUCCCCCUGUUCAAACAUUCUUUUCAAAUUCAAAGGUUUCGGCAUCUACAGGAGGAAAGGCCUCACUUCAGCCCAAACGAACAGCUGUCUCCCAGGAGGAGAUCGAGGCUAUUUUGUUGGGUGGCUGCCUCUGAUCGCAAAACGGAGCUGCUAGAGAGCUGCUGAUGUUGCUGGAAUUUCAUUCUUGACGAUUUAUGCCUUAUCUUGUACUUUAUAUUGGUUGGUGAUGUAUCUUGUACUUGCAUCUUCUGUUGUUUUUUUAUAUCUAGAACACCCACUGGCAAUUCUGAAUGAGGACGCAGUAUAGAUCACUUGAAAAUUCAUCUUA